rnacentral:rRNA from 1 species
UGCUAUACAUGCAGUCGAGCGAUCGAUGGGAGCUUGCUCCCUGAGAUUAGCGGCGGACGGGUGAGUAACACGUGGGCAACCUGCCUAUAAGACUGGGAUAACUUCGGGAAACCGGAGCUAAUACCGGAUACGUUCUUUUCUCGCAUGAGAGAAGAUGGAAAGACGGUUUACGCUGUCACUUAUAGAUGGGCCCGCGGCGCAUUAGCUAGUUGGUGAGGUAAUGGCUCACCAAGGCGACGAUGCGUAGCCGACCUGAGAGGGUGAUCGGCCACACUGGGACUGAGACACGGCCCAGACUCCUACGGGAGGCAGCAGUAGGGAAUCUUCCGCAAUGGACGAAAGUCUGACGGAGCAACGCCGCGUGAACGAAGAAGGCCUUCGGGUCGUAAAGUUCUGUUGUUAGGGAAGAACAAGUACCAGAGUAACUGCUGGUACCUUGACGGUACCUAACCAGAAAGCCACGGCUAACUACGUGCCAGCAGCCGCGGUAAUACGUAGGUGGCAAGCGUUGUCCGGAAUUAUUGGGCGUAAAGCGCGCGCAGGUGGUUCCUUAAGUCUGAUGUGAAAGCCCACGGCUCAACCGUGGAGGGUCAUUGGAAACUGGGGAACUUGAGUGCAGAAGAGGAAAGUGGAAUUCCAAGUGUAGCGGUG